rnacentral:rRNA from 1 species
UACGAAGGGGGCGAGCGUUGUUCGGAUUUACUGGGCGUAAAGAGCGCGCAGGCGGUCGUGCAAGUCGCGUGUGAAAGCCCCCGGCUCAACUGGGGAGGGUCACGCGAUACUGCUCGACUCGAAGGCAGGAGAGGGAAGUGGAAUUCCCGGUGUAGUGGUGAAAUGCGUAGAUAUCGGGAGGAACACCAGUGGCGAAGGCGACUUCCUGGCCUGUUCUUGACGCUGAGGCGCGAAAGCUAGGGUAGCAAACGGG